rnacentral:lncRNA from 1 species
CUCAAAUCCCAAGUCCUCCACUCACCAGCUCUAAGACACCGGAUGAGACAUUUAACCUCUUCUUGUCCUGAUUUCCUCCUCUGUAAAAUGGGGAGCACGCUGGGACCUGCUUCAGAGCGGUUACGAGUUUGAAAUGAGUUCAGAUACAGAAAACACUUGGAACAGCGCCUGCAUGGUAAGCUCUUGAUAGAUAUUAGCUGUCUUUAUUAUUACAACCAUUCAUGUGGUUGUUAUUACCGUGGAGCUAUUUCAAGGGUGUCUGUCUUGUCUACACAAUAAGAUUCUAAACUUCUGAAGUGUGCGGAGCUUAGCACAGGCUGGGCCAUACGGUAGAUGAUAAAUACUCAGUGAGUGUAUAAAUUAAUCAUUAAAUUCAUAAUUAAUCACAUCUUGUAAUUAAUAUAUGAAGGAACAGAUGACAAUGACCAGGGUAACAACACUAAAUAAUAGUAUUAUUGAUCCCUUGAUGGUCACUUAAUACAGACCAGGAUUCCAUUUCUCAUCGCAGCAAGAAAACUGGGGCACAAACUGGGGCACAAAGAACUUAAGCAGUUGGUCCAUGUUCUUGAGCUACUAAGUACUUGAGCUGUUGUUUCACUCCAAACUUUUCCCGGGCAAGAACUCGUCUCUUCUUAACCACAACACUGUGUUGGUUUUCUCUGAUGAAACUGGAAAAAGUUUCUGGCGGGAGGUGAAUAGCAAAGUUGCUACAAGUUGCUUGCUAGCCUCUCCAGGGGAGUAACUGAAUCUUGUUUAAUUUUGUUUCCUUAGCUCCAGGAAAGGAAUUCACAUAAAGUAGACACCUAAGGAAAUGAGCAUUGGGUGUGUUUGCAUGGAUGGGUGGGGUGCAUGGAUGGGUGGGUGAUGGAUGGGUGGGGUGCAUGGACAGGUGGGUGCAUGGAGGGUGGGUGCAUGGACGGGUGGGGUGCAUGGAUGGGUGAGUGUGUACAUAGAUACAUGGGGAAUGGAUGGGUAGGGUGAUGGGUGGAUGGAUGAUGGAGUGGAGAGAGCAGGUGGGUGCAUGAAUGAUGUUCAGUUGGAAGGGUGGCUGAGUGGAUGCACAUGUGGGNGGGUGCAUGGACGGGUGGGGUGCAUGGACGGGUGGGGUGCAUGGAUGGGUGGGUGAUGGACGGGUGGGUGCCUGGAGGGUGGGUGCAUGGAUGGGUGGGGCGCAUGGACGGGUGGGGUGCAUGGACGGGUGGGGUGCAUGGAUGGGUGAGUGUGUACAUAGAUACAUGGGGAAUGGAUGGGUAGGGUGAUGGGUGGAUGGAUGAUGGAGUGGAGAGAGCAGGUGGGUGCAUGAAUGAUGUUCAGUUGGAAGGGUGGCUGAGUGGAUGCACAUGUGGGCAGAUAGGAGUAUGAUGAGUAGGUGGAAGGAUGGGCAUGUGGCUAAGUAGGUGGCGGAAGUGAGAGAGUGUCCUCUCCGUGUUAUUCUGCAGAGUGACACUCAGAGAACCCCGAGACAGGGAGACGUGGGAAACCGAUGUGCAUUUGGAGGUGAAAGAAGCUGGAAAAAUCGUUGCUGGCAGUGCUGUUCCUGGAAGGGAGACGAAGGCGGGAAGACACAUUUGGGUUACAGGAAGAGGCGGCCCCUCAUGCAGCAUCUUUAGUCUAUAAGGGCCCAGGGCUCUGCGCUGAAAGCACUAAUUGGAUUUCAUUAAAGCGAAAUAGAUUUCCUAGCACUGGAAGAGCCAGUUCAUUAAUUUCACACAUGCUCUACUGGAGGAAGGCAUAGGGAAGGGCAGCCAGCCCCAGUCUCCCCAGGCUAAGAUCAGAGCUGGGAGCCCGCUGCAGUUUGGUGCAGAGCCUGGAUUCUGAGCACCUGCUCCAUGCCAGUGCCUGGGCUGGCCAUCGGGGGUGCAGUGAUGAACCAGAUACAACCACCACCUCCGGUAACUCGGUCUUGGAGGAGGCAGCCGCACGAGGCAGGGCGUGCACAGUGACAGGGUGCUGGACAAGGGUAAGCAACACAGAAUGUCUGACCUGUGCUGCUGGGGGUCCUGGGGGUAGGGUGGAGGUAAAGAGCAGAGAAGGGAGAAGUUGGCCCAGCUGCCCUAAGGCUCACGGGGCCAUGGUUUGCACGAAGGUUUUCAUGCCCAGAGUGGGCAACACCAAGGGAGGAGACAAGCAGGGGUGCUGGGGUUCAUCUAAAAUUCUUCGAAAAUAUUCACUGAACACUCAUGGUGUUGUCAGGUGUGUUCCAGGUACUGUACAUCCCGUGGAGCAGACCGACCUGGUGCUGGAGCUGAGAAGAGUGAUCUGGGCCGGAAUUUUAAAUUGGGGACAUUUGAACAUAUAAAAGGUGGUCAAUGCCCAGGUCCGGAUGACGUCACCAGGGGAGAGGGUAGGAGGGGCGGGGUCAUCUUAGUUCUUUCUCCUCUCAGAGCAAGAAUUCCUUCCACACCUUCCACUGACAGGUGGCUCCCCAGCCCCUGCUUGCAUGCUCCAAUGACAGGGAGCUCACUACCAGCCAAGCCAGUCCAGCCUGCUUUUGGAAGUCCUGGCUGUUAGUUAAAUUCUUUUGUAUGCGGGCCAAAGUCUCCCUUCCCUUUUGAUUUUACUCCUUUGUUCUGAUUCCAUCUGCUGGAGACCCGGCCCGUCCAGUCGGCUCCCUCUUUGCCAUGAUCUGCUAGAACCCACAGAUGUGGUUCACCACACCUUCCUUCUUCUCCGAUAGUGGGUCCCUGGGUUUCUUCUGAGGGUACCGCACCGUCCCCACUGCCGUCUCCCAUCCCAGGAAGCGACAAAGUCUUGUUUUAACGUCUGAACCGUGGCCUUAGAGACCAGAAGAAGAGGGGACACUUAAAACUAAGAGACUUCCCUUCUGUGUCUUUAUUAAACACACCCAGUUCCUUCUGCCACUCUUAGCUGCCUCAGUGGCUACCCCAGAUAUUUUUGUCUCUGGGUUGGGGUCUCCACGCUGGAGGUCAUCACAUGAAACCAGUGGCCGUACCAGGGACCCCCUCAUCUUACACAAGCUUUUUUUAUUUAUUUUUAAAAAUUUGCUUAUUUUUGGGGCGCCUGGGUGGCUUGGUCGGUUGGGCGGCCGACUUCGGCUCAGAUCAUGAUCUCGCGGUCCAUGAGUUCGAG